rnacentral:rRNA from 1 species
UACGUAGGGUGCGAGCGUUGCCCGGAUUUAUUGGGCGUAAAGGGCGCGUAGGCGGCUCGGCACGUCCGUUGUGAAAUCGCCCGGCUCAACUGGGCGGGGUCAGCGGAUACGGCCGAGCUUGAGCAGGCUAGGGGGCAAUGGAAUUCCCGGUGUAGUGGUGGAAUGCGUAGAUAUCGGGAGGAACACCGAUGGCGAAGGCAGGUCUCUGGGCCACUACUGACGCUGAGAAGCGAAAGCAUGGGGGAGCGAACAGG